AGCCCACAUCUCCUUCUCUUUCUUUCCUUUUCCUUUUCUCCUCCUCUUUUCUUCUUCACGCACAGCACCCAGCACAGCCCUUCUUCCUCCAUUUCUCUUAUUUCUUCCCUCUCCCUGCCUUUUGUCAUGCACACAGCAACCCGUGAGACCCGUCGAGUGAGAGCGAACCCGAGACACUGAGAACCACCGUGAGAGCUGAAAGAUGCGGAUCGAGGUUGAGAGACGAGUUGCAGAAAAAUGAGAAGAAAAAUGGGGGUUUAGGCUAUGUAUAGCAAGAGGAUAGUAUCCGGAUUGGAGAUUUCAAUGGGUUCUCCAAUGUUGUGUUCAUAUGAUUAGAAUCUAGUGGGAUGUUCGAGUCAUGAGUCCAAUGCAGCGAAGGUAUUUUGGCAUAGUUGAUGGUUUAGUAGCAGUGUAUUUGGAAUAUUAUGACUGAAGCUCGCCGCAACGGUUGUAAUUGUCGGAGCACGGGUUGUCCACUAUUUUAUAGGUUUGGUAUAGCUUGUGACGUUUGUGUCACUUAUUUUUUGUAAAGCCAUUAUUGUUAUGUAAAUAUUGUGUUAAUAAGACUCAAACAGAUAUAUGUUAAAUGGCUCUUUGUUGUAUUUAGUUUGUGAUAGAUGUAUAAGCUGUAAUUUUCGCUAUAUAGAUUUAUGUUUUUCGCUGCAUAAA